GUGAGGGGUUACAAGCAGACUUUGAAAAUGAUCAGACAUGGCAAAACGAAGCUGGUCAUCCUCGCCAACAACUGCCCAGCCUUGAGGAAAUCUGAAAUAGAAUACUACGCCAUGUUGGCCAAAACUGGUGUCCAUCACUACAGUGGCAAUAACAUUGAAUGGGGUACAGCAUGUGGGAGGUACUACAGAGUAUCAUUGAUCCAGGUGAUUCUGAUACCAUUAGAAGCAUGCCAGAACAGACUGGUGAAAAGUAUAUCACGCAGAAUUUUUCCUUAAUAAAACUGGCCACAGCUUGUUUUAAAAACAAAAAACAAACAAAAACAAACAAACAAACAAGAACUCAUGGGAUGGGGAUGGACAGCUCUCCCCCAGGUCCCAAGCUGGGAUUCAGGGGAGCCCCCUUGCUAUCCCUCCAGUAGCAGACCCACAUUCCAGCUGCAGCCACAGCCCCACAGUGAUACCUUGCAGGCUCCAAGUGUGGGGUGUGGGCAAAGAGGAUUCACCUCCUCGGCGGUCCCUGUAGCAGCCAGCCCAGGGACACCCCAAGGUCCCCAGGGCUGGGGAGCUGUGGAGCUCCAGAUAGGGAAGGUAGGGGCUGGCAGUCACAGUGCCCUCUCUACUUGCACCAGCAGCCCACCCACUCUA